rfam:Bacillus xerothermodurans strain ATCC 27380 scaffold_4, whole genome shotgun sequence.
GUCAUAAAGAAGAAGCGCCCGCUUCUCACCUGACCAACGGAAGUUGGCUGGUUAAUAAAGGUAAAGUGAACGUUUAUUACGAAAAUCACUUGAAAUUUAUUGGACGUGGGCGCGUGUCGCUCUCGUCCUUUUCAUUUUUU